AGUUGUAGUUAACCAAGGGGUAAACUAAGUUGAUUGGAUAAUGAUAGUAUGAUAGCAUGCAUGCAUAAGACUCUAUGAGUUAUAUAUGUUGUUUCUUUUCAGCUUUGUACAGGCAUUGCAGUAGAUGAAUGAUAUAGUUGGUUACUAUAUGUUCUCUUUACUUGCCUACAUAUGUCUGAGUAAACCUAGUGGGUGAGUCGGCGAGAUCGGUAGCCGAACCCACUGGAAUGAAUUAUAUAUGUUGUUUCUUUUCAGUUUUGUACAGGCAUUGUAGUAGAUGUAUGAUAUAGUUUGUUAUUAUCUGUUCUCUUUCCUUGCCUAUAUAUGCCUGAGUAAACCUAGUGGGUGAGUCAGCGAGGUCAGCAGCCGAACCCACUGAAAACUUUCAGUAGUUCUCACCCUACUAACCAUGCAGGUUCUAGCAAGUGCGGGGUGGUUGAGGAGCGUGACAGGGACAGUUCGCAAUAGAUAGCGACAUCCAUUGAGUAGAGCUAUGCCUUAUACAUUUCAUCUAUUUAUUGUUGAUGAAAGGAAAAAUGCAAAUUAUUCAUUUAAGAGAUGGCAAAUGUAUAUAUGUUGGAGGAAUGAAUGUAUGUAAACAAAUGGUAAGUUUUGUAUUUGAUUUAAAGUAAUUAAGAUACAAUGUAUGAAUGGUUUACUUAGUUUACUUUCACUUGCUUAUGUUGCUUACCCUCGUAUAAGCCAUGUAUAUUGAAAUUUUUUCUGGGCAUUUUCUUAUACAUGUUUGAUAGUUGUCGUUAAGCCUUGAGCGAGCAAAUAGAAGAGGUUCUGUUCGUUCGGCGUCAGUGUACGGGCCCAAACCGACUAAAUUGGGGUGACGGGGAGUGACAUAGAGCCCUUCGUACUUAUAAGUUAUUUUUGAUGUUGGGGUUUUCGAAUCGACGAUCCACACCGUUAAAUAUGAUCUAGAAUAUUAGAAACUUUUAGAAAAUAAAUUUCAUAAUUUUUCGAAAUCAUUAUAAAGUCCAUCAAGUGGGUAUAAAAUGAGCGAUCAAAAUCGAAUGACAUCCUAAAAGUGGAUGAUCGGAUUCUUUAAUUUAAGAUUGGAGUUAUUGAUCUUUAUUUAGGUAGUGAAUAGAAUUUUCUAUCAAAAAUUCAAUCUAUUCUGAUUCUUUUAUAUCGUUAAAUUAGCAAAUAUUCCAUAUCGGCCGUUAAAAAUUGUCAAUUUUGUGAGCUUUUGAUUGUAAGGUAAAUGAUAUCGAAAAAUUAUAAAAUUUGAUUUCUAGAAGUUUUAAAUGCUCUAGAUAAUGUUUAACGGUAUGGAUCGUUAAUUUGGAAGCUCUAUCAUUGAAAACAACUUAUGAGUACGAAGAUGAUCGUACUCAUAAGCCCUUCGUACUCAUAAGCCCCUGUUUGGUACGGGGAGCCCCCCUCCCCCUAACCCCAAACAAUAUUUUGGAGGGGUGGGGUUUGUUAACGGGGUGGGGUUUGUUAACCCCACCCCCUAUGGAAUUGAGGUGGGAUUAAAGUUAAUCCCACCCUAAUUCAAUUUUUUAAUUUAAAUUUAUAAUUUAAAAUUUAAAAUUUUAAUUUAAAUUAAUAUUUUAAAUUUUUUUAAAUAUAAAAAUUUGUAAGCUUAAAAUUGAGACAUAUAAUUUUAAAUUAUUACUUUUAAAUUUUAAAUUUUAAAUUAUUAUUUUUAAUUUUUUAAAUUUAAAAUUUAAUAUUUGAUAUUUUUAAAUUUAAAUUUAAUAUUAAAUUUUAAAUUUAGAACUUUAAAUUUUUGAAUUUGAGAUUUAAAAAAUUAAUUUUUAUUUUAAUUUUUUUAAUUUUAAAGUUAUAUAUUUAAAUUUAAAAUUUAAUUAUAAAAUUUAAAUAUAAAAUUAUUUUUUUAUUUAUAACUAUCCACUAUUCUUCUUAUUCCAUCUUAUCUAUUUAAAUGCUAUUUUUUUAUUCCCGAAAACAACCCAAUUUUCAUCCAAACGAAAAAUUAGUCUAUUCCAGACUUAACUCUGAACUUAACCCUAUCGCUAAAAUACCCGUUCUUACUUAAUCUCGAACCAAACAAAGCCUAAGCCCCCGUUUGGUUGGAGUAUAAGGGGUGGGAUAAGGGGUUAUCCCACCCCUAAUACCCAAAAAAAAAAAAAAAUCGGGAUAACCCAUUAAAGGGUGGGGUUAGCAAUCCCACCCGUCCCCGUGGAAUAAGGGUGGGAAUAGCUAUUCCCACCCCUAUUUAAUUUUAAAAUUUAAAUUAUAAAUUUUAAAUAAUUUACCAUUUGUAAUCUUAAAAUUAAAAUUUUAAAUUUUAAAUUCUAAAUUCUAAAUUUUAAAAUUUAAAUUAUAAAUUUUAAAUUGAUAUAUUUAAUUUUUUAAAUUUAAAAUUUAAAAUUUUAUAUUUCUAAAUUUAGAUUUGAUCUUAAAUUUAAAAUUUGAAAUUAAAAAUUUAGAACUUUUAAUUUUCGAAUUUGAGAUUUUUAAAUUCAAAUUUUAAUUUUAUAUAUUUGAAAUUUAGAAGUUAUAUAUUUUAAUUUAAAAUUUUAAAUAUAAAAUUUAAAAAUUUUAAUUUAAAUAUAAUGAAGAGAGCAAUAUUAUUAUUUUUUAUUUAUAAUCACCCACUAUCCUUCUUAUUCUACUUACUGUAAUCAAAUAUUAUUUUAUUUAUAUUUAAACUAAACUCAAUACUCAAUCAAAUAUAAAAUUAUCUUAUUCCCACUUUAUAAUUUAUUUUAUAUUUAUUUUGAAAUAAUUAGUUUUUACUUGUAUCCGAAUCAAAGGAAGCAGAA
rnacentral:lncRNA from 1 species